AGAUAUGCUAAAUACUAUCCGUUGAAUGUUUGAAUUGGACAUUUAGUAUAAAGGCCACCCCAUCUUUAUGUUUAUUAAGUGUAAUAAAUUUGUAGGAAAGUUUUAUAGUUUGUACGAAAAAGUAAUGAAAGUUUUAUCUGCAAGGUGUUGUAGAAAGAAAGUUAGGAGAGAGUAGAUGUCUAAAGGAUUGAUACAUUUAAACUGAUGGACCCUCUUUUAUUAUAUUGUUAUGACAUAAUAAAAAGCAUCCUAUAUUCAUGGCACUUUUUUUUAAAAAUUUAGUUGCUUAGUUAGUGAUUGCCAGCAAUAAAUUGCCCUUGCAUUCACAUCGACUGUAUGAAGACAAGGAGUUUGAGUACAGGAUUCCAUUUGGUCUUUACUCCAUACUCGAAUCGGGUUCUUUAUGCUCCAUUCUUUCCUUAUUGGUUGAACAUAGGAAAUCUCAUGGUAAUUGUUAUGUAUGUAUUAGUUGUGUCUGUCAAUGCAUAUCACCAUAUGACCCCAUUUCAAAUACUCUGUUUAUCGUAUGCAUCGUAGUAACGACAAUGGUUAAUUUACAAUAGCUUCAGAUGUAAAAUAAUAUAAUUACAAAUCACCGCAGAUCUAUCUAUUGCUCUUUCUAGGAAACAAGAAGUGCUACUCACUCUUGGAUCUUGAGGAAGAUGAAUACAAGACAAGGUUUUGAUAGAGAGCAGA